CGGAGGUGCGAACGUUGCUCGGAAUCAUUGGGCGUAAAGCGCACGUAGGCGGCGACAUAAGCGGAAUGUGAAAGCCCAGGGCUCAACCCUGGAAGUGCAUCCCGAACUGUGUCGCUUGAAUCUCGGAGGGGACAGAGAAUUCCCGGUGUAGAGGUGAAAUUCGUAGAUAUCGGGAGGAAUACCAGUGGCGAAGGCGCUGUCCUGGACGAAGAUUGACGCUGAGGUGCGAAAGCGUGGGAGCAAACAGGAUU
rnacentral:rRNA from 1 species